rnacentral:rRNA from 1 species
AUGCGACGGCCGCAGCGCCGCGCUGUAGCUAAGCAAAGCCGCGCCAAGGAUGGCGACGAGAUCCGCCUCCUUGAGGCCUGGAUCGACGCCGGCAAGCCCCUCCCGGGAACCAAGCCGCCUCCCCCCUCGGAGGAGUCCUCCGCCGCCAACGCACGGGUAAGGGCACGAGAUGUAGUGGCUAAGGCGGCGGCUGGGGACUACUCGGAUUAUGGCGCGUCCACGCGGUUCGACGAGCUGCCGCUGUCGAAGAAGACCAAGGACGCCCUGCGGAAGGCGGGGUACAAGGAGAUGAGCGAGAUCCAGCGGGCCGCCCUGCCCCACGCGCUCUGCGGGCACGACGUCCUCGGCGCGGCCAAGACCGGGUCCGGCAAAACCCUCGCCUUCGUCAUCCCAGUCAUUGAGAAGCUGUAUCGGGAGAAAUGGAGUCAAGAGGAUGGUGUGGGUUGCAUUAUUCUCUCUCCCACUAAUGAUUUAGCUGGUCAAAUUUGGGAAGUGGUCAGGAAAGUCGGGAAGCACCAUAACUUUAGUGGUGGUGCUAUCGUUAAGCGCACGGGUAUCGAGCAAGAAAAAGAACGCAUAAACAGUUUGAAUAUCUUAGUGUGCACUCCUGGACGGUUAGUCCAGCACUUUGAUGAGACUCCAAACUUUGAUUGCUCAAAUCUCCAGAUAUUGGUGCUUGAUGAGGCGGAUCAAAUACUUGAUAAAAAUUUCAAAUCCCAAGUUGACAUUAUCCUUUCUCAAAUUCCCAAAGCUAGACAAACCUUACUGUUUUCUGCCACACAGACGAAGUCAGUUAAGGACCUCGCAAGGGUUAGCCUAAAGAAUCCUGAAUAUAUUAGUGUGCAUGAGCAGGCUAGCACGGCUACCCCAGAUAACCUUGAGCAGUGUGCCAUGAUUGUGCCUCUUGAACAGAAACUGAAUAUGCUUUGGAGUUUCAUCAAAAGGCAUCUAAAGUCAAAAAUACUAGUCUUCUUAUCAAGUGUUAAGCAGGUCAAAUUUGUGUAUGAAAUUUUCAAGAAACUACGUCCUGGUAUUCCUCUAAAAUGUAUGCAUGGGCGGAUGAAAUACGAAGUACAGCAGGCUAUAGUAGCAGAGUUCAGCGAAAGUACUUCGGUUCUGUUCUCAACUGAUAUAUUUGCUAGAGGACUGGAUAUAGGGAAUGUGGAUUGGGUGGUACAGGUUGAUUGUCCAGAAAGCGUCGCAAUGUACAUCCACAGAGUUGGUCGCACAGCUCGUUACAACAAGAAAGGGAAAUCUCUUAUAUUCUUGUGUCCAGAGGAAGAAAGAAUGCUGGAAAAAUUGAAGGCAACCGAGAGUAAAAUACCUAUUAGUGUUCGCAAGCCUAAAGUGGAACAACUGGAGCAGAUAUCUCAGAAUGUAGCAGCAGUGCUUGUUAAAUUUCCCAAUCUGCAGCAACUAGGUAAAAGGGCUUUUGUGACCUAUCUCAAGUCAGUGUACCUCCAGGGAGACAAAGAGGUGUUUGAUCUGAGCAGGUUCUCUGCGGAGAGUUUUGCUGCAUACGCCUCUUCACUUGGUCUUCCUGUUACCCCUAAAAUCCGCUUCGUAAGCCACAAGAAGAAUGUGUCGAAGAAAGAUAUGAAGGACAUUGAUGUGAAACAGAUGAAACACAAAGCUGAAGUCAUUGAAAUAAAGCCACAGGUCAAUCGUGAUAUGCUUGCAGAUGAUGGACCUGACGAUGAUAUCCUUUAUCCGAAGAAGCCCAACACAGAUGCAAAUAUUUAUGAUGGACUAGAUGAUAUCCUUUCUCCCAAAGUGCCUGACACUGAACCAGAAAAAAUCAAAGAGCUGGCAGCGAGGCCCUUGAAAAAGAAGAAGCUGAAAAUAAACAUGCACAGGCCUGUGGGAACAAGGGUCAAGUACGACGAUGAGGGCAAUGCGAUUGACCCCCUUGCGUCUUUAGCCGAAGAAGUGGGCCCAGAAGACGUGAUUCACAAGGAUAAAAUUCUGCAGAGGUAUGCAGAGAUGCUGAGAGAAAUGCAGGAGGAUGACAAGGAGGACAAGGCCCAGCACAAGAAGAGUUUGCACGAGAAGAAGUUUGAGAAGAAGAUGAAACUGAAGCGCAGGCGACAGGAGGAAACAGAUGCGGUGUCUGACGACAGUGGCUCAGAGUCCGACAGAAACCAGAACAUGUCCUCCAAGGGUAAAAAGAAGUACUUCAACAACAGCGACGAUGAUGAAGGUGGUGCAGCUAAGGGCGGGGACCUUCUCGCGCAGCAGGAGGCACUGGCACUGAAGCUUCUGGGUAAAAUGCACGACUAA